CCUACGGGAGGCAGCAGUGGGGAAUAUUGGACAAUGGGCGAAACCUGAUCCAGCCAUGCCGCGUGUGUGAAGAGGUCUUCGGAUUGUAAGCACUUUAAGUUGGGAGGCGUUACCGACAGAAUAAGCACCGGCUAACUCUGUGCCAGCAGCCGCGGUAAUACAGAGGGUGCAAGCGUUAAUCGGAAUUACUGGGCGUAAAGCGCGCGUAGGUGGUUUGUUAAGUUGGAUGUGAAAGCCCCGGGCUCAACCUGGGAACUGCAUCCAAAACUGGCAAGCUAGAGUACGGUAGAGGGUGGUGGAAUUUCCUGUGUAGCGGUGAAAUGCGUAGAUAUAGGAAGGAACACCAGUGGCGAAGGCGACCACCUGGACUGAACUGACACUGAGGUGCGAAAGCGUGGGGAGCAAACAGGAUUAGAUACCCUUGUAGUC
rnacentral:rRNA from 1 species